AUGGCAGCGCCGCCGCGCAUCCGCAUCUCGCCGCCGGCGCUCCCGGGCGAGCUCGUCGAAGAGAUCCUCCUAUGCCUCCCGCCCGACGAACCAACCUGCCUCCUCCGCGCAUCCCUCGUCUGCAAGAGCUGGGGCGGCAUCGUCUCCCACCCCGCCUUCCGCCGCCAGCUCCACGAGUUCCACCGCACACCCCCCGUGCUCGGCGUCCUCCACAACUGGUACGACGAGGAGAUUCCCCGCUUCAUCCCCACUACCGCCUCCUCCUUCUCCCUCGCCGCCCCGGACGGCCGCUUUUGGCGGGCCCUCGACUGCCGCCACGGCCGCGCCCUCUUCCUCUCCAAGGGCCUGGGCGCCAACGAACUCCUCGUGUGGGAGCCAAUCACGGGCGCCCAGCAACGCGUACAGGUCCUCGCAGCCGCGGCCUUGAGUGACUAUCCGACGGCGGCCGUGUUCUGCGCAUCGGACGGGUACGACCACCACGGCUGCCUAGGGGGUCCUUUCCGCGUGGUCUUCACCUUCUCCGUCUACGACGGGGAUGAGCUUACUGUCACGUCGGCAUGUGUAUACUCGUCGGAGACUGGGGGGAGCUAA
rnacentral:rRNA from 1 species